rnacentral:lncRNA from 13 species
AUUUUCUGGUUAUAAUCAUAGAGUUCAUAUGGAAAAGCUAAGCAAUAUGAAAAAAUACAGAGUUAAAGUUUUUAAAAAUCACCCCAAAUUGGAGUAAUUUUUUUUUUGGAGUAAAUUGGAGUAAAACUUUUUUUUUGUCUCUUGAGACAGACUAGGUCUUGCUGUUGCCCACGCUGGUGUGCAGUGACACAGUCACAGAUGACUGGAGCCUCGACCUCCUGGACUUGCUCUGUGUUCCUGCCUCCCAAGGAGCUGGGACUACAGAAAGAAAGAAAAAGGGAAUGAAGAAGAGGAAAAAAGAGGAAGAGGGAGAGAGAACGGGAGUGUUGCUUUAUUGCCCAGGCUAGAAUGCAGUCUAAAAAUGGGUAUUGAAAACCUCCCUUAUACCAUCAAUUGUGCUUAAUAAUGGCCAACGAAUGUUUCAUUUAAACCUAAUUUCA